GCUUAUACUCGACCGUCAGCGGCACGUGCGAUCGCGCGUUUCGGCGUGCGGUCACGAAGCCCUGACGAGUAGGAGGGUCGCGGCGGUGAGCGCAGAAGGGCUGGCCGCGAGGCCGUCUGGAGCCGCCGUCGGUGCAGAUCUUGGUGGUAGUAGCAAAUACUCCAGCGAGGCCCUGGAGGACUGACGUGGAGAAGGGUUUCGUGUGAACAGCCGUUGCACACGAGUCAGUCGAUCCUAAGCCCUAGGCGAAAGCCGAUGUCGAUGCGGUGUGGAUUUAUAUAUCUUUUUUUUACGACGGCGACGACGACGACCGCGUCGACGACGACGACGACGACGAAGAACGAGAUAAUAGUUAAUUCGUUUCUUCGACGUACGACGUACGACGACGGCGUCGACGACGACGACGACGUAUACACGAGAAGUUUCGAUCGAACACACCCAUCGGGCGAAAGGGAAUCCGGUUCCUAUUCCGGAACCUGGCAGCGGAACCGUCAAAAAGUCGGGC
rnacentral:rRNA from 1 species